rnacentral:rRNA from 1 species
CAGCAGCCACGGUAAUACGUAGGUGGCAAGCGUUGUCCGGAAUUAUUGGGCGUAAAGGGCUCGCAGGCGGUUUCUUAGGUCUGAUGUGAAAGCCCCCGGCUCAACCGGGGAGGGUCAUUGGAAACUGGGAAACUUGAGUGCAGAAGAGGAGAGUGGAAUUCCAUGUGUAGCGGUGAAAUGCGUAGAUAUAUGGAGGAACACCGGUGGCGAAAGCGGCUCUCUGGUCUGUAACUGACGCUGAGGCUCGAAAGCGUGGGGAGCAAACAGGAUUAGAUACCCGGGUAGUCCCUGUCUCUUAUAA